GAAAAAAAAAACAAUAGAAAGGAAAAGAAAAAGAGAGAGAGAGAUAGAUGGAGGGAAAAGAGAGAAAAGAAAAGAAAAAUUAUUAGUUCUUCCAUAGGCAACACAUGGGAUCAAGUUGUAAUUGUUAAGAGAAGUUUUGGAGGUAAGUUUUAAUUAUUGGUUUUUAUUAAAUUGUUGUGGGGAAGCAUGAUUGCAAUAAAAGUAGAAAACUAAGAUUUUGCAGAACUAUGCUGACAGUGAAUUAUUAUGAAAAUCAUAGUAAUUUGUACAAAUUAAUUUUGAUUCUGAUUUUUGGUAUGUUAAACUAGACAUCGUCUAGAAUUGAAACUUAUUUCAAGUUAAUCGGAUAAGAUUUCAAUUAAUUAUGAUUUGUCAAAGUCAAGUCUGAUAACCUGGAAAUUUAUUAUUUUAGUGAAUAACGUGAAUUACGAAAUUAUAUUUACCAUAGCUAGACUUCUUCCAAAAUUAUGAAAUUUGGACCAAUGCUUUUUAUAUAUGUCUAGUAUGAUUCCGUAAAUUUUCAUGAUUUUAUGAUGAAGCAAUAAAUUGUUUUGUAUUUGUAAAGCAAGUGUGUUCAAAACAUCAAAUUGUUUGACUGUAUUGAUGAUGUCUGAAACGUCAAUUAUUUUCAAUAGUUUUUGAAGGAAUUAUGUUAUGAAAUUUUUAUCAAUGAACUUUCAAUGUGUCAUCAUAUGGUCUGUAAAAUUUGAGAUUUUUCCAAUGCAGGAAUAAUUUAUUAAAAAAAUUGGGAGAAUAUGGGUUGUUCUGGUUUAAGGGUCGAUUAUUGAGAACAUUGAUGUUGAGCUUAGGAGAUGUUUAAAUUGAGAUAUUUGAGGACAUUAGAGUUUAUGAUUGAGACUCGAUUAUAUCUUAUGAGAAAUUUAUUGAUGAUUUUAGGUGGAUGAUAUCAGUACGCAUUUGUUACAUGAGGAUGCCAAGAGGUAAGUAAACUAGACUUUUAAAUGAAUCACAAUAAACAAUAUAUAUGUUUGACUUGUGUAAAAAGUCUAUUUUUAAUAUUUACAUAUAUGGAUUUAUAUGUAUCUGCUUAUGUGUUUAUGUGAUGUGUUGUUAUGUGUUGGGCGUGAUUAUGUACAUGGGCAUAUGUAUGUGUGAUGGUUCAUUGGCAUAAGCAUGAAAAUACAUUGAGUUUUCUAUGAAUGAGAAAGUGGGUUUUAGCAAAUUGAAUUUCGGUUUUAUGAGAUUUUGCAUUGGGGUCACCUCUUGAAGUUGUGUGGGGCCACCUCUUGAGACUAUGCAAGGGCUACCUCUUGAGGGCCACAGCGCCGCAAAGUACCACGCACAGCGCAAAGUGCCACAACUGCAGAAUAUGUAUUUCAUUGAAAGAAAAUGAGAAAAUUUGAAAGCGACAGAAAGAGAUUUUUAUGAAUUUGUUUACAGUAUUUCCAAAAGAUUAUGACAUAUCAUCCAUUUGCAUUAUGUAUAAAUAUGUAUGUAUUUUGGUAUAAGAAAAACUAGUUUGCUUACUGGGUCUUGUACUCAUUAUAGUUUAUUGUGAUUCAGUUUCGAGAAGUUAGGAUUGAUUCGUGAUGAGUGAGAAGAUGGAUUUGAAUUGAGGAUAGUAGAUGGUUUGGCUAAAUUUUUAGGUUAUUAUGCUGGCUUUUGUAUUUGAGGCUUGAAUUUUAUCGGUUGUAAGAGUUAUUUAAAUUCAU
rnacentral:lncRNA from 1 species